rnacentral:rRNA from 1 species
CAGUAGCCGCGGUAAUACGAAGGGUGCAAGCGUUACUCGGAAUUACUGGGCGUAAAGCGUGCGUAGGUGGUGGUUUAAGUCCGUUGUGAAAGCCCUGGGCUCAACCUGGGAAUUGCAGUGGAUACUGGGCCACUAGAGUGUGGUAGAGGAUAGUGGAAUUUCCGGUGUAGCAGUGAAAUGCGUAGAGAUCGGAAGGAACAUCUGUGGCGAAGGCGACUAUCUGGGCCAACACUGACACUGAGGCACGAAAGCGUGGGGAGCAAACAGAAUUAGAUACCCCGGUAGUCCCUGUCUCUUAUAC